rnacentral:rRNA from 1 species
UACUAGAGUAGCACUCGCAUAUCAAUAAGCGGAGGAAAAGAAACUAACAAGGAUUCCCCUAGUAACGGCGAGUGAAGCGGGAAGAGCUCAAAUUUGAAAUCUUAAAGGGUUUCCCUUUACGAAUUGUAGUUUAAAGAAGUGUUUUCUGUUGAGGUUUUGGUAAAAGUUCUUUGGAAUAGGGCAUCAUAGAGGGUGAGAAUCCCGUAUUUGACCUUUACUUUCAACUUUGUGAUACACUUUCAAAGAGUCGGAUUGUUUGGGAAUGCAGUCCAAAAUGGGUGGUAAAUUUCAUCUAAAGCUAAAUAUUGGCGAGAGACCGAUAGCGAACAAGUACCGUGAGGGAAAGAUGAAAAGAACUUUGAAAAGAGAGUUAAACAGUACGUGAAAUUGUCAAAAGGGAAGCGUUUGACACCAGUGUUGUUUUUCUGAAAAUCAAUUAAAGAACUGUUUAUGCUAAGUUGUUUAGACUUUAUCAGCUAUCUGCUUAGUUUUGAGCUUUUCUUUAAUGCACUUUUCAGUUAACAAGUCAACAUCAAUUUCUUUUGCUGUAAAAAAGCUUGAGGAAGGUGGCUUGAGAUUCGUCUUAAGUGUUUAUAGCCUCUUGCCUAUGCAGUCGGAGAGAUUGAGGUCUGCAGCGUAGAUCCUUCGGGGCUAAAUGCAUUUGUGCUAAGUUAUAGCAUUUUAUAGACAACUUGUUGACUAUGAUUUGUCUUGUAGCUUACUCGCUUAUGUUAUUUUACCUACGCUUAGGAUGUUGAACUCUAUCACACACAG